rfam:Oryza glumipatula chromosome 1, whole genome shotgun sequence.
AAUAAGUCCAGUUUUAGCACUGUUCAUGUUCAACGUUUGACCGUUUGUCUUAUUUAAAAAAAUAUUAUGAUUAAUAUUUUUAUUGUUAUUAGAUGAUAAAACAUGAAUAGUACUUUACGUGUGACUAAUUUUUUUAAUAUUUUUUAUAAAUUUUUCAAAUAAGAUGGAUGGUCAAAGCGCUAAACACGGAUAUCUAUGGCUGCAUUUAUU